rnacentral:lncRNA from 1 species
AAAAUUUUAAAAUAGAUAAAUUAUACUUAUUAUUUUUUUCUCAGCCGGGGCUGGCGCCGGUGCUAGCCCCCCCUUGGUUCCGCCCCUGGCUGUAACCCUGAUCACAGACAAAUAAUCAGCCAACACGAAAUUAGUAAAGUCCUGGGCUCGAAUAAACCAUCCUCUUCUUCCCAAUUCAGGUAUUUUUCUCUUAAUCAUAUAGCAUAUUUAUGUUAUCUGUAAUUAUAUAUUUAGACAUGCAUGUGUGGCUUAUUUAGUGUAUUGGUAGUUAUUUACAUUAUUGCUGAGUUCUUGUUUGGAUCAAGCAAUUAUUUUUAGGUUUCAUUCAGGUGGCCUACUUGCCUUUAGUUACUACUAUUUUACUACAUAACUGCAAAAGAAAUUGAGCUUUUAGUGAAUUGGUUGUUAUUGACAUUUAUGUUAAAUGAGGAGAUAUUAAAAUGGGUGAUUCUAGGUUUUUGAGGAAUUGAAAGUAUACGAUUUUGGAAGUUGAAAUAUAUUUUUGAUGAUGGUAACUGGUGCACAAGUUAAAGGGUCCUGGUCCUAGUGGAGGAGGAUCCCGCAAGAGUAGAAUUUCAGGAAGGUCCUGAUGUUUGAACUAUACCCUUAUUUUUUAUGAAGUAAAGUUGUUUAUAAAGGUUUAAAUGUGCUAUCUAGGCACCUAGCGGAUAACAAGUGACCAUUUGUGACUUGGCUGUCAUGCCAAGAACGACCUUAAGAAGCAGACGUAUAUGAAAGCACAUAAUGUUGAAAGUACUUUGUUCUUGUUUAGAUAAAAGAUAUAUGAUAUUACUAUUAUGCUAAUAUGCUGCGUUCUUCUGUUGUGUAAAGGAACAAAUUGAACAUUACAAAGAAAGUUUUUACUAGGUUAUGCACUUGUGCUAUUGAAGAUGGUUCUUUGUUGCAUUCAACUCUGCUUGCUAGUUUUGUUUUUGUAUAGAUAAUGAAUAAGAGAAAGGGCAUCCAAACAUGCAUCAAGAUUUUCAAAUAUUUACUUAUGAAGUUGUUCCCCUUUUCGGAAAAAAUACAUUUAGUUACAAUAACUUUUCAAUUCUAAUGGCACCUUUAAGUAAUUUUUAUCUUAGUGGUUCCCCAUUUCGGAGGCCAAGAUACGGAGUGAAGUUAUUUCCCCAUUUUAUGAGUUCAAAUGUUGUUGUUUUUAUCAUGCUUUCAUUGCCAGUGCAUCCCUAGUAGCACUAAAAUCCACCAGACACUACACAGUGAUUAGUGCCCUACCCAAUUCAUCAAGAGCAGCUGAAGUCCCUAGAUUCUUGAGGGUCUUGAGCAGCUGUAUGACCUGUAUUCAUAUUUGGCUAUUUGCGAUUUCUUUAUUCUAGGAAGUAUAAUGCUAAGAAUGCACAGUAAGCUGGAGUUACUAGAGAGGAAAACCUUCAAAUCUUAAGCUUUUGUUGGGUUAAAAGAAGGCUGUUCCUGUUAAUGCACUUACUUGCUCCCUUUCUGAAAAGAAAAUAAACAGAAUGCGGAUAGAUGAACCAAAGAGAAUGGCCAACGUUUCAACCGAAUCUCCAGUUUAAGUGUUACUAUAUACUAAUGUUCCUACCAAGCUUAUACAAAAAAAUGUUUUUUUACUUUCAUUUUUCAUUUAAUUUGCUCCUUGCAUUCUGGUAAUACUACUAAAUGUCAGCUAUGAAAUAGCAUAGCUUCUGAAAAUCAAGAGAUGAGUAAUUUAUGGUUCUCUUUGUCUAUGUCAAGGUAUUUAUGUCUAUGCUUCUAUGCUCGUGUUCAUGGUACUGGAGUUGGAUGCCCUCCUUGGAAUGUUUUUGUGGCACUCCUACCACUUUAAAGGACUAUGAUCAGUUCUAUUUUAUGGCAUGGAGUGGUGGAACGACGAGUCUAGCUUGAUCUGCUUAUAGAGGUCAGAUCUUCACGGUUGAGCUUGAACUAAUACACAUACAGGGUUAGAUUAUCUGUCAGAAAAUUCAGUUGCUUAAUUAGUUUCCUCGGUAUCUUUAAGCUUUUUACUAUUUCUCUACUCUUCACUGAAUUUUGAGUUUUUUUCCGUCCAUUUAUGUCACUGUGUCAGUCUCUCAAUUGCGACUUUCAGUAAUACAGGGUAAUUAAUAUCUGAUCCAUUCACUAAUCAUAUUCUUGUUUACGAAUUAGUUUGUUUAAGUUGAUCCGUGCUUAAUUAUUAAGACUGGGAUUGGCCUGAUACCUGAUAUACUGAUAGACCUAGUUCUAUCUCUAUUACAUGACUUCUCACUGUUCAGAUAAGUUUGUAAUAAAUUAAAUUAUGUAGCAGAGAUCCAUUUGAAAUGCUCUAAAAAUAUGGUUCAUAUUAAAUACUUUAAAAAUUUAAGCAAGCCAAAAGGCCCAUAAUAUCAUGCCACUAUUAUUGAUAUAUAUCUACUCCUA